GUUUCUGUGGUGUAGUGGUUAUCACAGUUGCCUCACACACAAAAGGACCCUGAUUCAAAACCAGGCAGAAACA